GAUGAACGCUGGCGGCGUGCCUAAUACAUGCAAGUCGAGCGAACAGACGAGGAGCUUGCUCCUCUGACGUUAGCGGCGGACGGGUGAGUAACACGUGGAUAACCUACCUAUAAGACUGGGAUAACUUCGGGAAACCGGAGCUAAUACCGGAUAAUAUAUUGAACCGCAUGGUUCAAUAGUGAAAGACGGUUUUGCUGUCACUUAUAGAUGGAUCCGCGCCGCAUUAGCUAGUUGGUAAGGUAACGGCUUACCAAGGCAACGAUGCGUAGCCGACCUGAGAGGGUGAACGGCCACACUGGAACUGAGACACGGUCCAGACUCCUACGGGAGGCAGCAGUAGGGAAUCUUCCGCAAUGGGCGAAAGCCUGACGGAGCAACGCCGCGGGAGUGAUGAAGGUCUUCGGAUCGUAAAACUCUGUUAUUAGGGAAGAACAAAUGUGUAAGUAACGAUGCACGUCUUGACGGUACCUAAUCAGAAAGCCACGGCUAACUACGUG
rnacentral:rRNA from 1 species